rnacentral:rRNA from 1 species
UGAUGAGAAAUCUAUUCUGCCCGGUGUAAAUGGCCGCAGUAUUUUAACUGUGCUAAGGUAGCAAAAUAAUUAGUCUUUUGAUUGGGGACUGGAAUGAAAGAUUGGACGAGAGAUGAGCUGUCUUAAUUAGUUGAAUUUAGUGUUAAUGUGAAGAAACAUAAGGGACGAGAAGACCCUGAUAAGUUUUAUUAUUUCAUUGGGGCGAUGACGAUGAUAAGGAGUUUAAAUUACUACAGGGAUAACAGCGUGAAAUUUUUGGAGAGAUCAUAUUGAUAAAAAGUUUUGCGACCUCGAUGUUGAAUUAAACCUUCUUGGAGGAGGACUUUUAAAAUUUUACA